rnacentral:ncRNA from 1 species
GUUAAAUCGAUGCGUUGGAUAAGUAAAUAAUAGAGUUAUUAUAGAGAACUGAUGGUUGGUGUAAAUCAGGAUAGUUUAUUAUUGAAAUCUCCCAACAAGAGAAGUUAAUCACUUCCGGAUGAACCGUUAUCUCAUAUAAAGAUAUCAUAUUGAUAUGAAGUAGGGUGGCACCACGAGAUAUUCGUCCCUUGA